rnacentral:rRNA from 1 species
UACGUAGGUGGCAAGCGUUGUCCGGAAUUAUUGGGCGUAAAGCGCGCGCAGGCGGCCGAUUAAGUCUGGUGUUUAACCCCGGGGCUCAACCCCGGGUCGCACUGGAAACUGGUUGGCUUGAGUACAGAAGAGGAAAGUGGAAUUCCACGUGUAGCGGUGAAAUGCGUAGAGAUGUGGAGGAACACCAGUGGCGAAGGCGACUUUCUGGGCUGUAACUGACGCUGAGGCGCGAAAGCGUGGGGAGCAAACAGG